CUGGAAGAGGGCUGAGCAGAUGAAUGAAUGACAGUUGUCCGGAGGUGUUCAAGAUGCUGUGAGAGCACAGACGGGGCCCAGAAGGUUUCGCUGAGGAAAUUUUAUCAUGUGGGCAACCUGCUGCAACUGGUUCUGCCUGGAUGGACAGCCUGAGGAGGCCCCGCCGCCCCAGGGAGCCAGGACGCAGGCCUAUUCCAACCCUGGGUACAGCUCCUUCCCUUCCCCCACGGGCUCGGAACCAAACUGCAAGGCCUGCGGGGCCCACUUCGCAAGCAUGGCCAGGAAGCAGACCUGCUUGGACUGUAAGAAGAAUUUCUGCGUGGCCUGUUCGAGCCAAGUGGGGAGUGGGCCCCGCCUCUGCCUUCUCUGCCAGCGUUUCCGAGCUACAGCUUUUCAGCGGGAGGAGCUCAUGAAGAUGAAGGUGAAGGACCUGAGGGACUAUCUCAGCCUCCAUGACAUCUCUACCGAAAUGUGCCGGGAGAAAGAGGAGCUGGUGUUCUUGGUGCUUGGCCAGCAGCCUGUAAUCUCCCAGGAGGGCAGGACUCACGCCCCCAGCCUGUCCCCGGACUCCCCGGAGCAGCAGGCCUUCCUGACCCAGCCUCACACCAGCACGGUACCUCCUACCUCACCCGGCCUCCCUUCUUCACCCCCAGCCCAGGCUCGGGACCGGCAGCAGGCCAAUGGCCAUGUGUCUCAGGACCAAGAGGAACCCGUCUACCUGGAGAGCACAGCCAGAGCACCUGCGGAGGAAGAGACCCAGUCUGUUGACUCAGAGGACAGCUUCGUCCCGGGCCGGAGGGCCUCUCUGUCUGACCUGACCGACCUGGAGGACAUUGAAGGUCUAACCGUGCGGCAGCUCAAAGAGAUCCUGGCUCGCAACUUCGUCAACUACAAGGGCUGCUGUGAGAAGUGGGAGCUGAUGGAGAGGGUGACGCGGCUGUACAAGGAUCAGAAGGGGCUCCAGCACCUGGAGCCCAGAUUUGAACUGAGGAUUUCCUGGUCCAAGUCCAUGGCCUUUCCCCCCACACGUCGCCCCUGCCAUACUGACUACUGCCUCUACCAGUACUCCUUCUUUGCACACACGGUGCAAGAACACUGUGUCCUGCCUGCACUUGGGCUGUUCAUUUCCCAAAGCAUGGUAUCAUUUUCAGUGAUGCCCAGUAAAAUAUCAAGGUCUGUGCUCAGAUGAGUUUGGGAAAAAAAAAAAAAAAAAAAAAAAAAAAAGAAAGAAACUUUAUGUCCCUGCUGCUGAUUCAUGGUGGAUGAAUAAUGGAACAGUAAAGGCAGAGAAUCCUGCAGAAGAGAGAGUUGAGCCGUGUGGAACUCCGCAUUUCCUGAAGUGACUUCACCCAGAACCUACCCCCGCCCCCCGCCUCCCAACAACCCCUCCCCAGCUGAUUUGGUCCUGCGGGUCGUUUUGACUCCUUGCCUGCUAACAGUGGUUGAAGUUGGAUUUGGGGCUCUCCUCUCCCAGAAGCUCAGAUUCGUCAGUUAGGGGACAUCUGACUGGUCACCUGAUCACAGACUCUCCCCUUUGGGAUCGUCCCCAGAACCUCCCUCGAGUGGCGAGGACCUGGGACCAGGAGAUGGCUCCGCCGCGGGCUGCGUCCCGACUCCCUGGCUGACCGGAGCAGACUGUUCCUCCUUUCUUGACUUUAGUGCUGGCCUCAGAAGCAACAGAAAAGGACAUUGUGCUUAUGCAGUAUCCUUCCUGCUUGGCAGUUUUGUUCAUGGCAAAGCAGUGGAAUUUCUCUUUCUAAGACUAGACCAGACACCCUGGCAGGAGCUGUGUUGUGUGGUGCUGAAGACCAAAACGGUAUGUAGUUGUUCCUGUUUGCGAACAGGCUUAGGCUCUUAGCUCUUCUGUCCUUCCCCUCCUUCAGCCCUGAUUCCUGUUGACGGUCUAAGAAUUCUGAGCAUGUCAGCGUCCAGAGAGGGUGUGGGGGAAUUCACUGGGAACCAAGGCUUCUCAGCAUCUCUAGAAAUUCUCAUCCCCGUCCCCGUGAAGAGACAAGAGUGGCAGGACACCUAGGGGCAGUCUGAUGAGCACGCCUCUGGGUUGUCAGAGCUCAGAAGCCAGCAUCUGUAAAAUAUUCAGCAAAUACUUGACUCUUCAGAUCUACAGCCUGACCUAUAGAGGUGCAGAUUAAACAAGCAAGUGGAAUUAACUACUGGGGAAAAGUUUUCUUGGAGUUCUGUUUGAGUGAAGUAUGGGGACUUGGGGGGGGGGGCCGUUCCCAGUGUGCCUGUUCUCCCCCUGUCCCCCAACCCCAUACACUUAGUCUUCUUACUUUCCCCUCUACCCCCUUUCUGCUG